rnacentral:lncRNA from 1 species
GUGUCGGGGGUUCAAAUCCCUCCUCGCCCACAACCGGCCCAAAAGGGAAGGACCUUUCCCUCUGGGGGUAGGAAAAUCAUGAUCGGGAUAGCGGACCCAAAGCUAUGGAACUUGGGCGUGGGUCUUUUGCCGAAAUGGAGUGGCCUUUUAUUUAUUAUUUAUCGUAUAUUUACUAUUCUAUUUUAUAUUUAUAUAUAGUAUUACCGGCCAAAACAAAAUAAGCAUAUUUUUUUUGUUUUACGCCCCGUAACUCUUCCUCAGCCAGGCUUGGGCAGAAUAGCAGAGCAAGUACAAGUAUUAGUAGCAUAGAAAAAAUGCGCUCCUCGUCAUUAAAUUAAUGUGUUUGCUCGCGGUAAUUGUGGCCUCUCGGGAGAAUCGAUGACUGCAUCUUUGAGGCAUUUGCUAGUACUAGUCCAUCUGAGAAUUCUUAAUUGGCUGGUUGUAAAUAGCCCCGGGACUAUGGAACAAAGGAUUAUCCCGGACACCUACACCGAGGUAUUGACGGUGAUUCUCAAAUAUCGCAGAACAGAAUGUGAUACGAUGAGAUAGAAUGCAAUAGAAACAAAGACACAGGGAAUGGGUUACCUGCUCUUAACGGUCAAAGCGAACCCUUUCAUUCUGACAUUCUGAAUUCUUUAAUUCGGAAUGAAUCAAAUCUCCUCAAGUAGGAUUCGAACCUACGACCAGUCAGUUAACAGCCGACCGCUCUACUGCUGAGCUACUAAGGAACAACGGGAGAUUAGAUCUCAUAGAGUUCAAUUCCCGUUCUCAACCCAUGACCAAUAUGAACUCGAAGUUUCCUUCGUAACCCCCGGAACUUCUUCGUAGUGGCUCCGUUCCAUGCCUCAUUUCAUAGGGAACCUCAAAGUGGCUCUAUUUCAUUAUAUUCCAUCCAGAUCCCAAUUCCAUUUUUAUAUUGUCAUUGACAUGACAUAAGAGAUGUCGGUUCUAGUCUAUCUUUUUCUAUUUCUAUAUAUGUAUAUGGAAAGUUCAAAAAUCAUCAUAUAAUAAUCCAGAAAUAGAAAAGAAAAAAGGGAGGUUAAUGAUGAUUUUAAAAUCUUUUAUACCAGGGAUCUAAUAUCCUUAAACAUGACGAUAAUCAAUUCGGUCGUUAUGGUCGGACUCUAUUAUGGAUUUCUGACCACACUAUCCAUAGGUCCCUCUUAUAUCUUCCUUCUACGAGCUCGAGUUAUGGAAGAAGGAGAAGAAGGAACCGAGAAGAGAGUAUCAGCAACAACUGGGUUUAUUGCAGGCCAGCUCAUGAUGUUCAUAUCAAUCUACUAUGUACCUCUGCAUUUAGCAUUGGGUAAACCUCAUACAAUAACUGUCCUAGCUCUACCGUAUAUUUUGUUUCAUUUCUUCUGGAACAAUCACAAAGACUUUUUUGAUCAUAGACGUCCUACCAGAAAUUCAAUGCGUAAUCUUAGCAUUCAAUGUGUAUUCCUGAAUAAUCUCAUUAUUCAAUUAUUCAACCAUUUCAUUUUACCAAGUUCAAUGUUAGCCAGAUUAGUCAACAUCUAUAUGUUUCGAUGCAACAACAAUAUGUUAUUUGUAACAAGUAGUUCUGUUGGUUGGUUAAUUGGUCAUAUUUUAUUGAUGAAAUGGGUUGGGUUGGUAUUAGUCUGGAUACAACAAAAUAAUUUAAUUAGGUCUAAUGUACUUAUUCGAUCUAAUAAGUAUCUUGUAUCAGAAUUUCAAAAUUCUAUGGCUCGAAUCUUUAGUAUUCUGUUAUUUAUUACCUGUGUUUACUAUUUAGGCAGAAUACCGUCACCCAUUCUAACUAAGAAACUGAAAGGAAUUUCCGAAACGGGAGAAGUGGGGGAAAGUGAGGAAGAAAGAAACAUAGAAAUAGAAACUAUUUCCGAAGGGGGAGGGGCUAACCAGAAACAGGGGACCGAAGAAAAUACUUCUUCUUCCCUUUUUUCGGAGGAAGAGGUGGAUCCGAGCAAAAUGGACGAAACAAAAAAGCUGCGAGUGACUGGAAAGAAAAAAAAAGAAAGGGCGAACUCCACUUUUGUUUUAAAGAGACAUACUCUAAAAAUAGACCGGUUUAUGAAACUUCUUAUCUGGAUGGGAAUCAAGAAAGUUCGAAGUUAGAAAUAUUAAAAAAAAAGAAGAUAAAUAUUUAUUAUGGAUUGAAAAACCUCUUGUGACACUUCUUUUUGAUUCUAAACGAUGGAAUCGACCUUUGCGAUAUAUAAAAAAUGACCGGGUUGAAAAUGCUAUAAAAAAUGAAAUGUCACAAUAUUUUUUUUAUACAUGUCAAAGUGAUGGAAAAGAAAAAAAUAUCUUUUACGUAUCCACCCAGUUUAGCAACUUUUGGGGAAAUGAUACAAAAAAAAUAUAUUUUUUCACACCAGAAAAAUUGUUUUCUGAUGAAUUGUAUACUGAUUGGAGUUUUAUCAAUGAACUAAAAAGAAGAAAUUUUAGUAAGGAGUUUAUAAAAAGAGUCGAAUCUUUAGAUAAGGAAUCUUUUGAUCUGGGCAUACUUGAAAAAAGGACUCGAUUCUCUAAUAAUGAAACUAAAAGAGAAUACUUGCCUAAACUAUAUGAUCCUUUCUUGCAUGGACCCUACCGCGGAAGAAUCAAAAAAUGGGUUUCUCCUUUAAGCAUAAAUCAAACUUAUAAAAAAAAAAACACAGAUCCGUUUUGGAUAAAUAAGAUUCAUGCUCUACUUCUUACUACUGAUUAUCACGAACUUGAACAGACACUAGAUACACUCAAUAUAAAAUCAUUAGCAACAGAAAAAGAACUCUCUUUAUUGACAUUGACAGAAGAUGAACAGGGAAAUAUCGAUUCCGAGGAUCGAGUCAAAAUUUUGAAAUUUUUAUUCAAUAUAGUUAUAACUAAUCCCAACAAUCAAACAAUUAGAAAAAAAAUCUAUUGGAAUAAAAGAAAUAAGUAAAAAAGUUCCUCGAUGGUCAUACAAAUUAAUCGACGAUUUAGAACAACAGGAGGGCGAAAACGAGGAAAAUGUAACAGCAGAGCAUGAAAUUCGUUCAAGAAAAUCCAAGCGCGUCGUGAUUUUUACUAAUAACCAGGCAAACGCCGAUACUUAUACUAAUACCAAGGAUGAUAAUGAUCCUGAUCAAACAGACGAAGUGGCUUUCAUACGCUAUUCGCAACAAUCGGAUUUUCGGCGUGACAUAAUAAAAGGUUCCAUGCGUGCCCAAAGGCGUAAAACAAUUACUUGGGAGCUGUUUCAAGCAAAUGUACAUUCCCCCCUUUUUUUGGACAAAGUAGACAAACCACUCUUUUUUUCUUUUGAUAUUUCUGGACCGCUGAAACGAAUAUCUCGAAAUUGGAUAUGUAAAAACAAAGAAUCAAAAAUUUCUGAUUAUACAGAAAAAAAGAUCGAGAAAAAAGAUGAGGCCAAAAGAGAAAAAUACAAAAGAGAAGAGAAAAUGAGGAUAGAAAUAGCAGAAGCUUGGGAUAGUCUUUUACUUGCUCAAGUAAUAAGGGGCUCCGUGUUAAUAACCCAAUCAAUUCUUAGAAAAUAUAUUAUAUUACCUUCACUGAUAAUAGUUAAAAACAUUGCCCGUAUGUUAUUAUUUCAAUUUCCUGAGUGGUCUGAGGAUUUAACGGAUUGGAAUCGAGAAAUGCAUGUUAAAUGCACUUAUAAUGGUGUUCAAUUAUCCGAAACAGAAUUUCCAAAAAACUGGUUAACAGACGGUAUUCAGAUAAAGAUCCUAUUUCCUUUUUGCCUGAAACCUUGGCACAGAUUUAAACUACAACCCUCUCAUAAAGAUCCAAUGAAAAAAAAGAAAGGUCAAAAGAAUGAUUUUUGCUUUUUAACAGUUUGGGGAAUGGAAACUGAACUACCUUUCGGCUCUCCUCGAAAACGGCGUUCAUUUUUUGAGCCUAUUUUUAAAGAACUAAAAAAAAUAAAAAAAUGGAAAACGAAAUGUUUUAUAGCUUUAACAAUUUUAAAAGAAAAAACUAAAUUGUUUCGAAAAGCUUCAAAAGAAACAAAAAAAUGGAUCACUCAAAGCAUUCUAUUUCUAAAGGGACUAAUAAAAGAACUUUCAAAAAUAAAUCCAAUUCCAUUUUUUGGGUUGAGAGAACCAUAUGAAUUGGGCGAAACUAAAAAGGAUUCGAUAAUCAGUAAUAAGAUGAUUCACAAAUCAUCCCUUCAAAUUCAAUCUAUGGCGUGGACAAAUUAUUCAUUAACAGAAAAAAAAAUAAAAGAUCUGACUAAGAGAACAAACACAAUCAAAAAUCAAAUACAAAAAAUUCUAAUUAUAAAAGAGAAGAAAAACGAAUUUCUAACUCAAGAAAUAAAUAGUAGUUCUAACAAAAUAAGUUAUCAGGAUAAAAUAGUAGAAUCAGCAAAAAAAUUUGGCAAAUAGUAAAAAGAAGAAAUAUUCGAUUAAUCCGAAAAUUCUAUUUUUUUAUAAAAUUUUUCAUUGAAAAGAUAUACAUGGAUAUUCUUCUAUAUAUCAUUAAUAUUCCAAGAACCAAUACCCAACUUUUUCUUGAAUCAACAAAAAAAAUGAUUGAGAACUUCAUUCACAAUAAUGAAGCAAAUCAAGAAAGAAUUAAUAAAACAACUAAAAAUACAACUCAUUUUAUUUCAACUAUAAAAACCUCACUUUCUUCACUUUCUAAUAUUAGUAUUAGAAAUAAAAAUGAAAAAGCUUUUUGUGACUUAUCCUCCCUCUCACAAGCAUAUGUAUUUUACAGAUUAUCACAAACCCAAGUUAUUAGUUUUUAUAUAUUCAAACCUAUCCUUCAAUAUCAUGGAACAUCUCUUUUUCUUAAAAAUGAAAUAAAAUAUUAUUUUGAAGAACAGGGAGUAUCUCAUUCCAGAUUAAGACAUCAUUAUGGGUUAAGACAGAAAAUCGUUUGGCAUUCUGGAAUGAAUGAAUGGAAAAACUGGUUAAGGAGUCGUUAUCAAUACGAUUUAGUUCAGAAUAGAUGGCUAAAAUUAGUACCAAGACAAUGGCGAAAUAGAGUCAAUCAACACUAUCUGGCUCAAAAUAAAGAUUUAACAAAAUGGG